rnacentral:rRNA from 1 species
CGCGCCUAACACAUGCAAGUCGAACGGAGAUCAUUUGGUAGAAGUUUUCGGAUGGACACUGAGUGAUCUUAGUGGCGAACGGGUGAGUAACGCGUGAGCAAUCUGCCUCAGAGUGGGGGACAACAGUUGGAAACGACUGCUAAUACCGCAUAAGCCCACAGCACCGCAUGGUGCAGGGGGAAAAGAUUUAUUGCUUUGAGAUGAGCUCGCGUCCAAUUAGCUAGUUGGUGAGGUAACGGCCCACCAAGGCGACGAUUGGUAGCCGGACUGAGAGGUUGAACGGCCACAUUGGGACUGAGAUACGGCCCAGACCCCUACGGGAGGCAGCAGUGGGGAAUAUUGCACAAUGGGGGGAACCCUGAUGCAGCGACGCCGCGUGGAGGAAGAAGGUCUUCGGAUUGUAAACUCCUGUUGAUAGGGACGAUAAUGACGGUACCUAACAAGGAAGCACCGGCUAACUACGUGCCAGCCGCCGCAGUAA